CGUGUAGGCGGCUCAUCAAGUCUGGUGUGAAAACGCAAGGCCUAACCUUGCGGAUGCACUGGAAACUGGUGGGCUUGAGUUCCUGGAGGGGAAGCUGGAAUUCCGAGGUGUAGGGGUGAAAUCUGUAGAUAUCUGGAAGAACACCGGUGGCGAAGGCGAGCUUCUAUCAGAGGACUGACGCUGAGGCGCGAAAGCGUGGGGAGCGAAACAGGAUUAGAUACCCUGGUAGUCCACGCUGUAAACGAUGUGCACUAGGCGUGGGGCCCGUACGGGUUCUGUGCCGUAGUUAACGUGUUAAGUGCACCGCCUGGGGAGUAUGCUCGCAAGGGUGAA
rnacentral:rRNA from 1 species